rnacentral:rRNA from 1 species
AGGAUAUUUGACGGUACCCUAUGAAUAAGCACCGGCUAACUCCGUGCCAGCAGCCGCGGUAAUACGGAGGGUGCAAGCGUUAUCCGGAUUCACUGGGUUUAAAGGGUGCGUAGGCGGGUAUGUAAGUCAGUGGUGAAAUACCGGAGCUUAACUUCGGAACUGCCAUUGAUACUAUAUAUCUUGAAUAUUGUGGAGGUAAGCGGAAUAUGUCAUGUAGCGGUGAAAUGCUUAGAGAUGACAUAGAACACCGAUUGCGAAGGCAGCUUGCUACGCAAAUAUUGACGCUGAGGCACGAAAGCGUGGGGAUCAAACAGGAUUAGAUACCCUGGUAGUCCACGCCCUAAACGAUGAUUACUCGACAUUAGCGAUACACAGUUAGUGUCUGAGCGAAAGCAUUAAGUAAUCCACCUGGGAAGUACGACCGCAAGGUUGAAACUCAAAGGAAUUGGCGGGGGUCCGCACAAGCGGUGG